GUGACAGCACAUGUCAAACGUUGGCGUGUCAAAACAAACCCCAUGUCGCAAAUGUGCGUGCCGGUAAAAGCGCCAAACAAUUUCAAUUCAAUUCAUCCACCGGCAAUUGAUAUAGUGCGUACAAAAAUCGCCGGACAAACAUGACGACUAAACAGGCUAGUGCUGAUCCGGAGUCCGCCGAUUCCUGGCAGGUGGACCCGGUGGAAGGUGAAAGAACGAAAAAAAUUCUAAUACGCAAUGUUCCGGACCUGUCGGUAGCUGGUUUACGACGGCUGUGCAGCAUCUAUGGUACGGUGGUAGAUGCGUUUAAAACGAAUACGCCCGGCUUGGCAUUUGUGGAAUUUACGAGCGAAACGGAAGCUGCACUCGCUGUCAAGCAACUUAACAUGAGGCUUGGAUUUAACUAUAAUGCCGAUCUGGUAUUGCCCCGAGAAACGAUACCUGAAGUUACGACCGGGUCAUCGAACAACGAACCCCCCGGCCAACCGUUGACGGACGAAAACUGGGAAGAGGCCAGCAUAAAGCGAAGGUUCAACAUGGGCUUUUCGUUACCACUGUUGAUUAACUUUCCCGUGAAGGAAUCAUUGGCCACGAGUGCAAAUUAUCGCGCAUCGGAUGGAUGUUUAAGACGCACAGAUCCGGAAUUAUUUUUUCGCAUCUACAAGGUACAGGAACUGUUCGAAACACCCAAAUCGUUAGAAUACGAUCCGGAGGAACUGCAAAAACGUGUGGACGUGUUACAGAAAGCUUGCUCGAACGAACAAAACCAAUUCGAUGGGGUAAAUUUUACGUACCGAGGACUGAGCGAGAAGGAGCACAAUCGUUUCGAGAUAACGUACUGUGUGGUUUGCAAAGGUUAUGGAUUUAGCCACUGCAAACAUUGUGGCACUAGCUACUGCUCCGUACAACAUCAGCGGAAGCAUUAUGAGGAGCAUAAGCUAAUCUGCCCACAAGAAGAUGCCACGGAUGACACACAAUCGGAGAUUAAAGCCGACACGGUUGUUGAGGAAAAGGUGACCAACGUACUCACGAGAGAUCCUCUUCCGACGAAAGUGAAUGUAUUCAUUACUGCCAUUCUAACACCGGAUCGUAUUUAUGUACGAUCGGCCGAUGAGGCCGCCAAUGAGGCGUAUCUUAAAACGAUCGGUGAAUUUGCUCAUGCCGGUAUUAAUGCAGUUCCCGUCGUAAACAGCAUGGAGCCUGCUGUGGGUGACAUUUGUCUAGCACUGUACGAACCACUGGGUGUGUAUGGCCGGGUGCUGGUAACCGAUGCCGGUCCGGACAUGUCAAAGUGUGUAUUCAUUGAUCACGGGACGGUAACGUUCGUUAGCAACGACGCUUUACUGGUGAUCGAUGAUCCCGACUUAAUGUACCGGAAGGUGCUAGUGUACAAGGUGUGCCUGACGGACAUUACGGACGAGCAAGGGGAACGGGAAAAGGCUGUACAAUAUUUGAUGAGUUUAAAGCACCGUUCGUUGCUGAUGAAUUAUCGGCUUGAGGCUAAUAAUAUCGUGGACGUGCAGCUAGAAACACCCGAAGGCGAAAGUGUGAACGAAAUGAUCAACAAACAGAUCAAAAUUUUGCCCGUCCAAAACAUACGCAACGAUUCGUACGUGAUGUAUAAGGACAUAUCUCAAUCAGAUCCAGCGGUGGGUGAAAACAAGCUCAUUAUGAUCCUGAACCGUACAACCAUCCUGAUAGACAGCCGUGUAACGUGGAUUGCAAUGGACGAUCUACCGUACCUGAGGAACCUGCAGAGUAUGCUUGAAUGUUACGGCAAGAAGGUGGCUGAUUUCCAACAGUCAUAUUUACCACGCGAAGGCGAAAUGUGUUUGGUGCAGUGCCUUAAGCGUUGGUACCGUGGCGUUUGUUACGAAACGGCUGGCGAUGGUAAACCGGCCAUCUUUCUGUGCGAUUACGGUUCCAUGACGCUGGUUGAGCUUAGCAACAUACGCAAGCUACCGACCCAGCUUGCAACGAAAACGGUCCGCACACACGACGGUACGGUGGCACAUUUGGAUGAGGCGAAGGCGGAAGGACUAACGCUCGAUUCUAUGUUUCUCGAUAUCUAUCUGCCCGAAAACGAACUGGUCUCGGUGGAUGUAAGCCAAAUAACCGUCGUAAAGGGAUUGCCCGGUGCACAGGAAAAGGAAACGCACACCGUGCUAAAUUUGCACGAGUUGGACAAUUUUUUGAAAUCCCGCAAUAUGAACCCAUGACAGCGUGCCCGUUACAUUCCGCCCGAGAGCAAAAUGGCACUUUGAGGCUAAUUUUAUUUCCUCUUUUUCGUUAAGAAAAAAAAACACUUGUAAAUGUAAUGUAGUGAAACUUUUUAUAAAACAAAACACGUUAAUUUGAUGAAUUUUUGUCGCUAAAAGGAACAUUUAAAAUAGACUACACAUAUUUACACACCGCAGUUUCGUUGCUUUUCGAUCAACCCACAGUGGUGAGCUGUCAUUUGGACAGUUUGCAAAACAGCUGAUUGUUGUUUGUGAAGCGAGCCGCUGUUGCUGCGCGUCGCGUAGUGGCGUUUUUUUUCCGGCAACACAGCCUGCUUUGAACGAGGAUCUUGCGUUUCCAUAGGCUGUAGCUUGGUAUUGGCCCGUUACCGCACAGUGGUGUCACAGCAUAACCGGGAAGACAGAGGUUCUAAAAAUAGCGCACCCUAGUGUGCGGGGUGUUCAAUUUAUGCUCCCCUGCUGCUGUUAUAGUAGGUAGAUCAUCUCGCUUGUUUCGUGAUCAAAUCACUCUGGAGUAGCGACGAGUCCACACAUCCAAAGCGCAAUCGAAUCAACAACAAAACUGCCUCACCAUGA